rnacentral:rRNA from 1 species
UACGUAGGUGGCAAGCGUUGUCCGGAAUUAUUGGGCGUAAAGCGCGCGCAGGCGGUUCUUUAAGUCUGACGUGAAAGCCCACGGCUCAACCGUGGAGGGUCAUUGGAAACUGGAGAACUUGAGUACAGAAGAGGAAAGCGGAAUUCCACGUGUAGCGGUGAAAUGCGUAGAGAUGUGGAGGAACACCAGUGGCGAAGGCGGCUUUCUGGUCUGUAACUGACGCUGAGGCGCGAAAGCGUGGGGAGCAAACAGG